rnacentral:lncRNA from 1 species
CUGGGAAACACAUGUCUGCUGCAGCUUCCUCCCAGUGACUUACAGCAGCUGCAGAUUUCUCGGGGGCCUUCUAUGGGGCCCACCGCAGCAGGGAGCCGAGAACUCUUACAGAGCCCUGUGUUCUCUCUCUACCCGCUUCAGCUCUGACCUCAUACUAGCUGGUCUGAUGUAAGAACAGGCCAUGGUGAGGGAGUUGGGGUUCUGGUCAGUAAGCCAGGCCUUCAGGAAUCAGGUGAUGUCGAUCUGGAGAGGGGGUGCCUGCUGGAGGGACUUGGGGAAGCAAGCCUGGCCCAGAGCCCUGGCCUCUUGCUGGAGCAUCCCCCUCUUCCUUUCCAGAGCCCCCUGAGAAUCCGAAGGCAUCCAGGGUAGAGUGCAGUGUUCAGCUGUGUCCUGGGGUCCAGGAAAGCCAAGGAGAAGUUGCUCCACCUGCUGUCCACCAGGCACCCCAGCAGAGAACAGCCUCAGCUCACCCCAGCCCAACACCAGAUCCCAGGGACUGACCCACCUAGACCAGCUUCUUCCCUGGGCCAGGGCUGCUCUGGAGGCAGGGAGGUUGUGACCAGGCCAUGGGGUGUAGCAGAGCACCAGGUAUAGACCAGGCUCUCCAGGCACACCUGGGCAGAGAAAUCAGAGACCCACAGCCCCAGGUUUCUUUUCCUAACUGCAAGAAGAUCAUUGAAAUUUUCUCUGUCUCAAGCUCCUGGGCUCAAGUGAUCCUCCUUCAUCUGCCUCCUGAGUAGCUGGCAUUCCAGAUAUGCACCACUGGACAGAUACACACAUAUAUAACGAUACUUAUAGACACACAAACAUCCACCUAGAUACACAAACACACAGAGACAUACACAUAUCCACACAUACUCAUUAGAUAUACAUUUACACACACAAACACACAUGUGCACACACACACAUACGCACACCUUGUUUCCAUCUUCCUCUCAGGACUCGGGGCUCUCAAAGAGUGAAAGAGUCUUGUACCAUGAGUCCAGGAUCUACUGUGCAACCUUGCCCAAGCGUCUUCCCUCUUGAGAUCUUGUUUAUGAUAAUAAACAUCCUUACCCACCAAUUAGGGUUAUUUUGAAGAUAAAACAGAAAGGAUAACAGAGUGAUGGCAUG